ACAAAGGAAAGCUUUUGACUAUACAAUCUCUAAGUUUUUUUGGAGUGAUGGUCAAAUGCAAGAAAAAGUAAGGGAAAGGAAGGACAUUUAUUAGGAAGAACCUGUCUGUAGAACAAAAAUCCUCGUUUAAAAUGAUUUAGGUAGCUUUGUCUUUGUUAUCUAUCAGUAAGGCAAAAUGUGUUCAUUCGUCCACUCAUUUACUCGGUCUCAGUCACCUGUGAGCGCCUGGUGUGGCAUGCCGAGUGAGGGGCAUCAGCUGACUGGGCGCGGUGCCCUGCACGGAGCCUUCGCGCAGACCCUGCGGCCCGGCCCGCACUCUGCUCCGCACCUAGAAACCACAGCGCUGUCUCUUCCCAGAGACAUUUCGGGCCAGCCAUUUCAGGUAUCGUAACUCAAAUCUUCACGGCAGCUCUACAAAGGAGGAUUUGCAGACGAGGAAACUGAGGCUCUGAAAGGUGAAGGACCUUGCCUGAUUUCAUUGGAAGGUGGGGUCUAGACAUGAUCCUGGGAGAGGGGUGUUCGGUCACUGCCCUGGCCCCUCGGUGUUCUGGCGAGGGUGGUGGCUUCCAGCCCGCGCAGCCAGGCCGGUGCUCAGGGCUUUACCCGCGUAGUGGACACUCAGUGGUCGCGGUCAUUUCCCCUUCGGGGCUGGAACGCCCGUCACUUGCUUCCCCAGGCCUCCUGGUAGCAAGGACACAUGGUCUGAUCUUCCUCCCUCAGUCAGACCCGGACCCGGGAGUCAGCGAUGCGGAGGGAAAGGACGGGAGCGUCCGGUGGCAGCGGGGAAACGCAUCGGAUCGGCCUUCCGGAGAGCCUGCUGGGGACACCCGGUGGCGGUGACUCCUCUCUCUGCUCUGCCCAGGCAGCUCCGGUCGCUGAAAGGGCACAGAGAGGACACUGGAGCUGGGCUCGCAUUCUGCCCUGGCCCGGCCUGCACAGAGGUCCCUGCGUCCUCCUGCCCAGCCUGCCCCACCUCCUCGCGUCUCAGGGACCUAGAAGGGACCUUGCUGGAGGCAGAAAUGGCAGCUGAAAAGGCAAGGGAGGGGCCGUGGCGGCUCUGGUGCUGCGACCGGAGCCCUCGUGGUAGCUGAGCUCCCAGGGGACUUGGCAGUGGAGCGGCUGUGGCGUCUGCAAACCAGUGCAGGGCAUGGGGGUCUCUUCCUCAGAAGGACGUGGGAUGAAUCGUCAGUGGCAUCCCCUUAACCCCGGGGAAGGGGCGACAGGCAUUGACUGUAUCAGAGCAAUGCUGGUUCUGCAAUGAAUAAACACCAUCAUCUCAGUGGCUUAACACGAUCAGCUGAAUAGCUGAAA